rnacentral:rRNA from 1 species
UAAGUGGUGGAAAUUAAACCAAAUGGGAUAUCUUUAGUAAUUGCGAAUGAACAAGGAUAUGCUUAGCUUGACAAAUGGAGCUAUUGGCUUUGAAUUGUAUUGUGGAAAUGUAUUACCAACAGAGGUGCAGGUGCCAGCCUAUUGAAAUAAAGCGUCAAUGAGGGUGAGAAUCCUGUUUGUCAUGUGCAGCCCUUUGUGCACGGUGUAUAUUUGCUGAGUCACACUCCUUGGCAUUGGAAUGCAAAGUGGGUGGUAAGUUUCAUGUAAAGGUAAACAUGCAAUUGAGACUGAUAGCACACAAGUACCAUGAGGGAAAUAUGAAAAGGACUUUGAAAAGAGAAUUAAAUGAGUUUGUAUUUGCUGAACACAAAGUAAACAGACUUGAUUUGCUUGGUGGGAGUGUUGCACUUGCUUGACAAGAGCUUUGGGCUGUGGGUGUAAUGAUUCUUUCUUUGCAUGCCAGUUUCUAUUUGUACAUCUGAUUACCUUUGCACAUGAAUGAUAAGUCUCCUGUGGGGGGUGGAUUGCAUGUGCAUGUAAUGAUUUGUGUUUUGAUAAAUGUGUCCGGUGUAUGUGUGUGUUCCUGUGCUUGGGGAUGCUUCCUUCCUUGGACUUACAAGCCCUGACACACACAUGCUGGCAAAAUGCUUCUGCUUGACCCG